UAAGGGGUGACCUGCGGAGGGAUCAUUACCGAGUUUUCAACUCCCAAACCCCUGUGAACAUACCAAUCGUUGCCUCGGCGGGAGAGCCCCGGGCGUUGGCGAAAGCCUCGCACCGGUAUCAGGCGCCCGCCGGAGGACCCAAACAAACUCUUGAAUUCUAAAGUAUCUUCUGAGUAAUAUAAGUUAAAUAAAUUAAAACUUUCAACAACGGAUCUCUUGGUUCUGGCAUCGAUGAAGAACGCAGCGAAAUGCGAUAAGUAAUGUGAAUUGCAGAAUUCAGUGAAUCAUCGAAUCUUUGAACGCACAUUGCGCCCGCCAGUAUUCUGGCGGGCAUGCCUGUUCGAGCGUCAUUUCAACCCUCAAGCCCAGCUUGGUGUUGGGGAUCGGCACAGGCGCCCUCGGGCGCCCGCCGUCCCCUAAAUCUAGUGGCGGUCCCGCUGCAGCCUCCUCUGCGUAGUAGUUUUCUCCUCGCAAGGGCAGCUCGGUGGCGACCUCGCCGUAAAACCCCCAACUUCUGAAAGGUUGACCUCGAAUCAGGUAGGAAUACCCGCUGAACUUAAGCA
rnacentral:rRNA from 1 species